AUGGUCAUUUGGGUGAAGAAAGCAUUGAAGCACGAGUGAGCCACUGUUACCCACCGCCAGUGAGAAAGCAUUGAACUUCGUCUCUUUCAUACGAGGAUUCUGGGAGGUACCAUUACCCACCGCUAGUGACAACCACUGUUACCCACCGCCGGACUUGUGGCUGGAAAAAUCACGAAAGUGAACAAAGACAAAGACAAGGAUAAUAAGAAAAGGCAUGUGUCUCGUUCAUCCCGUGUUGGGAUCCAGAUGAGAAAGCAAAAUGGUGUUAAAGCGAGAAGAGGACCAGGCAUGCAAUGGAUUUAUGUAGUUUUAUUGUGCGGCUUGCACUCUCUUCAUGUGUGAUGCAUGAGAACGUGAACCUG